GGCGAAGCCCGCCGGCGCGGGCUA
rfam:Roseiflexus sp. RS-1, complete genome.